rnacentral:rRNA from 1 species
GUGUCAGCAGCCGCGGUAAUACGUAGGGUGCGAGCGUUGUCCGGAAUUAUUGGGCGUAAAGGGCUCGUAGGCGGUUCGUCACGUCGGGAGUGAAAACUCGGGGCUCAACCCCAAGCUUGCUCUCGAUACGGGCGGACUAGAGGUAGGUAGGGGAGAACGGAAUUCCUGGUGUAGCGGUGGAAUGCGCAGAUAUCAGGAGGAACACCGGUGGCGAAGGCGGUUCUCUGGGCCUUACCUGACGCUGAGGAGCGAAAGCGUGGGGAGCGAACAGGAUUAGAAACCCGUGUAGUCC